rnacentral:rRNA from 1 species
UACAGAGGGUGCGAGCGUUAAUCGGAAUUACUGGGCGUAAAGGGCGCGUAGGCGGUUAUUUAAGUUAGAUGUGAAAUCCCUGGGCUUAACCUAGGGACUGCAUUUAAUACUGGAUGACUAGAGUAAUGUAGAGGGUAGUGGAAUUUCCGGUGUAGCGGUGAAAUGCGUAGAGAUCGGAAGGAACAUCAGUGGCGAAGGCGACUACCUGGACAGAUACUGACGCUGAGGCGCGAAAGCGUGGGGAGCAAACAGG